GCCAACUUCUGACACCAAGAAGGCUAUGGCAAUGGCGUUAAUUGAAGAGUUUCCCUGCCUUAAAGACAUCAGAGGCAAUGGCUAUGUAAGAACCUUUUUUUUUUUUUUUUUUGGGCUUUCACAUAGUUCUAAGCCACAUUUUAUAUCAGUAAAAACUGCUCUGUAUGUUUCGUGAUACUUUUAAGGAGGCAUUUUACACACCAGGCCGGAACCACCGUCCAGCCACAGGCUUCAUUGAGGAGCGCUUACGAAACAUCAGAAAGAGAAUGAGAAAACUUUCCAGACCUCAAAGACAUGAAGAGGACACAUCACAUAGGAUGGUAAUCCCUGAACCUACUAUUCCAACGGAGAGAGCCCAAAGUCUUGUGAACUGGCUGAAAAAUAACCAUGCACCUAUUAACCAAGUGGUAGAAAAUAUGAAGGAGACAGCCUUAUAUCGGGCUAAGUGGAUCCGACAGAAUGGGACAAAGAGCAUCACAGAGGUUCUCCAUGAGUUCCCGCAUCUCUUGAACACACCUGGCAUGAUUUCCCAAGACUUUGAUCAGGUCCAUGGAGAAACUGGACUGAAGCUUUUUGAAUCGUGGGCCAAUUUCUUUGCUGACAGAAUUCUAAGGAUUGCGAUUAAGGAAGAAAAACUGAAUAAGACUUGGGAGAACAUUCCACAAGAGAAUCGAGGUGAUGUUGCUCUUUUGGUCCUUCCCCUACUUCUUCCUCCCACGGUAUACAGAAUUGGUCAGAAGGUCUUUCGACCAUCCAUUGACGAAGCUAGGAAGGCCUUCAUUGAUCUUCAACCAGUUGGAACAAAUAUGGUUGAAUUCAUUAACCGGCCAGAGUCCACAAAACACCAUCCCUUUGUCAUGGCUAUGGGAAAUGGCCAGCAAAUCUCCCAGGCAUUUGUGAUAAUCAAUGGACAGGCUCUGGAGCAGAGCACACUGCUCGCAGCUGUAGAUCUUUGUUUCAAAGCUUUCUAUGUCUUUGACAUGAACUACCCCAAGCAGUGCGCAUCGACCUGGGAGUUCAUGCAGCAUGUCGUCUUCCAAAUAGAGGGCAAUGAAACAUCUGCAGUUCGUUUUCUUCGCACAUCCUUAUUCGCUGAAGAGUAA
ensembl:lncRNA